AGAUUGAACGCUGGCGGCAGGCCUAACACAUGCAAGUCGAGCGGUAACAUUUCUAGCUUGCUAGAAGAUGACGAGCGGCGGACGGGUGAGUAAUGCUUGGGAACAUGCCUUUAGGUGGGGGACAACAGUUGGAAACGACUGCUAAUACCGCAUAAUGUCUACGGACCAAAGUGGGGGACCUUCGGGCCUCACGCCUAAAGAUUGGCCCAAGUGGGAUUAGCUAGUUGGUGAGGUAAUGGCUCACCAAGGCGACGAUCCCUAGCUGGUUUGAGAGGAUGAUCAGCCACACUGGGACUGAGACACGGCCCAGACUCCUACGGGAGGCAGCAGUGGGGAAUAUUGCACAAUGGGCGCAAGCCUGAUGCAGCCAUGCCGCGUGUGUGAAGAAGGCCUUCGGGUUGUAAAGCACUUUCAGUAAGGAGGAAAGGUUGGAUGUUAAUAGCAUUCAGCUGUGACGUUACU
rnacentral:rRNA from 1 species